rnacentral:misc_RNA from 1 species
GUAGGUGAACCUGCGGAAGGAUCAUUAUUGAAUUAUGUUUUCUGGAUGGGUUGUAGCUGGCUCUUUGGAGCAUGUGCACGCCUGCCUGGACUUCAUUUUCAUCCACCUGUGCACCUUUUGUAGUCUUUUUCAGGUAUUGAGUGAAGUGGUCAGUCUCUCAGCUCUUUGCUGGAUGUAAGGACUUGCAGUGUGAAAACAGUGCUGUCCUUUACCUUGAUCAUGGAAUCUUUUUUCCUGUUAGAGUCUAUGUUAUUCAUUAUACUCUUAGAAUGUCAUUGAAUGUCUUUACAUGGGCUUUUAUGCCUAUGAAAAUUAUUAUACAACUUUCAGCAACGGAUCUCUUGGCUCUC